AGGAACUUCCUGGGAUCAGUUACGAAACCAGUUAGUGCAGAAGCUGCUGCAGUAUACGGAGAAGCAAGAUAUAUCUGGCCUUCUAUGUGCCCCAUCCGACCAGGGAAAUUUCGAUUUGUUGUUGAGACACAGACCUGCAUAGAGUGUCCUUUCAUCGGUUACAUCGAAAGCAAAAACAAUAACACAUUCAAAAUAUAUAGGAAGUUUCUCGGCAUUUAUCUAUAGCUGCUCCAGAAAAUACAAGCCAGCCUUUUCUAAGGAAUUUGACUUUAGCAGAAGGGCAGUGGCGUUAACUGGAAUAUGACCCAACUACGUUUUGGGUUUUGUAUUUGGCUCUGAGCAAUAAUUUUUAUCACAUGAUGUUUCCAAGAGAUCCAACUAUUUUAGGUUUACCUGGGGUUCAUUCAAACGUCCAAAUGUGUCUCUUGGGCCACCCAUACAUGCAGCACAACUAGGACUUGCUGGAGGAUCACAUCCAGCUUCUUCAAAAAUCUUUGAACAAGUCUUGCCACCUGAACCAGCAUGACAGAUUGCAAACAUAGACAUGAAAGUCACUGCAGGAUUGUCAUCCUUCAUGAAGAGAAGUGAUUGUUUCAAGCCCUCCCCAAAAUGGAUCCAUUCUCCACCAUAAAAUAUAUGCAGUUUGUAUGUUAUAAAGAAUAUGAAGUAUAAUAAGAAAUUGUAAUA